rnacentral:rRNA from 1 species
UUUACACGCGUUAGACGAACGGUCUGGAAAGUCCGACGAUACAGGGUGAUAGUCCCGUAGUUGACGACGUGUGUUCAGUGAAAUCGAGUAGGGCGGGACACGUGAUAUCCUGUCUGAAUAUGGGGGGACCAUCCUCCAAGGCUAAAUACUACUGACUGACCGAUAGUGAACCAGUACCGUGAGGGAAAGGCGAAAAGAACCCCUGUGAGGGGAGUGAAAUAGAACCUGAAACCGUGUACGUACAAGCAGUAGGAGCAGGCUUUGUCCUGUGACUGCGUACCUUUUGUAUAAUGGGUCAGCGACUUAUAUUCAGUGGCAAGGUUAACCAUCUAGGGGAGCCGUAGGGAAACCGAGUCUUAACUGGGCGUUCAGUCUCUGGAUAUAGACCCGAAACCAGGUGAUCUAGCCAUGGGCAGGUUGAAGGUUGAGUAACAUCAACUGGAGGACCGAACCGACUAAUGUUGAAAAAUUAGCGGAUGACUUGUGGCUAGGGGUGAAAGGCCAAUCAAACCUGGAGAUAGCUGGUUCUCCCCGAAAGCUAUUUAGGUAGCGCCUCGGACGAAUACUACUGGGGGUAGAGCACUGUUAAGGCUAGGGGGUCAUCCCGACUUACCAACCCUUUGCAAACUCCGAAUACCAGUAAGUACUAUCCGGGAGACACACGGCGGGUGCUAACGUCCGUCGUGGAGAGGGAAACAACCCAGACCGCCAGCUAAGGUCCCAAAUUACUACUAAGUGGGAAACGAUGUGGGAAGGCUCAGACAGCCAGGAUGUUGGCUUAGAAGCAGCCAUCAUU